GAUAAAUUAAACAUUUUUUAUUAUUAUUUCCAUUUUCUGAUAUUUGAAAAACAGAACUAAACAAAACAUGUUUUUAAGUUUCAAAAAUGGAAAAUGAAAAUAGAAAAUAUUUUUUUAAACCAAACGGCCUUAGAGUUGAGCAGAGGAGAACAACUUUGGUAGCAUCUAUACUUCUGUAAGUUUGUUUCAUGAGCAAUUAAUCCAGGAUAUCCGGCUGAGGAGAGAGCAUAGACUGAGGCCUUGAUGGAAGAAGAAAUUACGCGAUGGAGAACAAAGUGGGGAGAGACGAUUAAAGUCACUGAAGAUUCUGCCACUGAAGAUUUUGCAAACAGACGAAAUGUUGAAGGUGAUGUGCCUUAAUGACAGGUUCAAAAGUGAUCGGCGCGGAGGAGUAAGGUUCUGGAUUGGUUGUUUUGAAGGUGUAGGGUAACCUGGCAGUGUAAGAGCGCUCAUAUUUUGUGUAUUAGGAACUCUUGAUUUUAAGUGGGAAUGGUGUUAUUGGACUGCUAGGUUAGGGUCAUUAUCACUCUGUUCUGUUCUAUAUAUUUGGUUUGGGGGUAUGCUAUAUGAUGAUUCUAUAUCUUUCCUGAUAGGAAUAGGCUGUUUGUAUGUGUUUCCGAAGAACUUAUGUUACUUGGUUCUCAACGGGAAACAGUAUAUGGGACAACAUGGUGAUGUUUUUAUCACAUCUGCUUCUUGUUAUGGAGAAUUAUGCUGAUUUUUUAUUUUUGCUCCAUGAUAAAUUAAUUGAACAAGUAUUUCUUCUUGUAAUUGGAUAUAUCUUUGUCAGUUAAAAACAAGACUUUUGGAAUUGGAAGUGUCAGAGCUUCUAUGUGCUUCUGUAUCCUGAAUUGUUGGCAUUAGAGGCAAUUAGGCUCUACUAUUUCUCUUGAUAAAUCAUAAUGCAAAUU